rnacentral:rRNA from 1 species
UACGUAGGUGGCAAGCGUUGUUCGGAAUUAUUGGGCGUAAAGGGCGCGUAGGCGGUUUGCUAAGUCAGUUGUGAAAGCCCGGGGCUCAACCCCGGAGGGUCGGCUGAUACUGGUGGACUAGAGUACGGAAGAGGUAGCUGGAAUUCCCGGUGUAGCGGUGAAAUGCGUAGAUAUCGGGGAGGAACACCUGAGGCGAAGGCGGGCUACUGGGCCGAUACUGACGCUGAUGCGCGAAAGCCAGGGGAGCAAACGGG